AAUUUAGUUUUUACACUCUUAAAGUUAUAUUACUUGGUCGUAUAUAUUAAUUUUAUCUUUCAUUCGAUGUUCAAUUUCAUCAUAAAAUUUGAAACUUCAAACUAAAAUCUUAAAUUAUUCUUGAUCUGAUGUUGAAUUGAAUGAUUUUGUAUGGCAUAAAAAUAAAGGUAUUUUAGAAUACCUCAUUUGAGUGAGAUAAUUUCCAUUUCUUUCAUUUCCUUACCAGCCCUCGAACCUUGUUCUUGAAGAUUAAAGUCAAGCACUCAACCUCUGAAGACAAGAAG
rnacentral:lncRNA from 1 species